GAUGAACGCUAGCGACAGGCUUAACACAUGCAAGUCGAGGGGUAACAGGGGAGCUUGCUUCUGCUGACGACAGGCGCACGGGUGAGUAACGCGUAUGCAACCUACCCAUAUUUGGGGGAUAACCCGGAGAAAUUCGGAUUAACACCGCAUAAUAUCAUUGAAUGGCAUCAUUUGGUGAUUAAAUAUUUAUAGAAUAUGGAUGGGCAUGCGUCUGAUUAGUUAGUUGGUGAGGUAACGGCUCACCAAGACAACGAUCAGUAGGGGUUCUGAGAGGAAGGUCCACCACACUGGUACUGAGACACGGACCAGACUCCUACGGGAGGCAGCAGUGAGGAAUAUUGGUCAAUGGGCGAGAGCCUGAACCAGCCAAGUGGCGUGAAGGAAGACUGCCCUGUGGGUUGUAAACUUCUUUUGUAAGGGAAUAAAAAGCUUUACGUGUAGAGCCUUGUAGGUACCUUACGAAUAAGGGUCGGCUAACUCCGUGCCAGCCGCCGCAGUAAGAC
rnacentral:rRNA from 1 species